rnacentral:rRNA from 1 species
AGGAACUAAACAGGAUCCCCAUAGUAAUGGCGAAUGAACCGGGAUAAACUCAGCAUGGAAAUUGGGGCCUUUGGCUUUGACUUGUAAUCUGGUGAGGCAUUGCCAACAGAGGCGCAUAUGUAAGUCUCUUGGAAAAGAGCAUCAACGAAGGUGAGAGUCCUGAUUGUCAUGUGCAGCCCCCCUGUGCACGGUGUGCCUUCUAAGAGUCACGUUCCUUGGGAUUGGAGCGCAAAUUGGGUGGUAACUUUCAUCUGAAGUUAAACAAUGGUUUGGGACCGAUAGGAAACAAGUACCAUGAGGGAAAGGUGAAAAGGACUUUGGAAAGAGAGUUAAAAGUGCCUGAAAUUGCUGAAGGGGAAGCGAAUGGAACCAGUGGUGCUGGGUGAGAUUGUCACAUGCUGCAAGGAUUGGUUGCUGCCACAACGCAAGUGUGCUGGCAAUUUCUGAAUUGCUAGUGUGUGGUGUGUCUUACCUAGUGGGUCAUUGUGGGUUUAUGCAUUAAGAUAAGUCAAAGCAAGCGGGAGCAAGUUUACGAGUUUGUGAAUGUGUGUUGUUAUGCUUGUGCGUAAGCUUUAGUGUUUGUCUGGCUGCAGGGCUGUCCAUCCUCAAGCUUUGCUGUGGUUGCGAUGAGCAUAACCUUCUGCACAGAUCUUGACGAAAUGUUCUUC